GAUGAACGCUGGCGGCGUGCCUAACACAUGCAAGUCGAGCGAAGCAUUUUAAAGGAAGUUUUCGGGUGGAAUUUGAAAUGACUGAGCGGCGGACGGGUGAGUAACGCGUGGGUAACCUGCCUCAUACAGGGGGAUAACAGUUAGAAAUGACUGCUAAUACCGCAUAAGCACACAGUACCGCAUGGUACGGUGUGAAAAACUCCGGUGGUAUGAGAUGGACCCGCGUCUGAUUAGCUAGUUGGUGAGGUAACGGCUCACCAAGGCGACGAUCAGUAGCCGGUCUGAGAGGAUGAACGGCCACAUUGGGACUGAGAUACGGCCCAG
rnacentral:rRNA from 1 species